ensembl:lncRNA
UAACUGCUAAACGCAGCUUGACCAUGUUUAGUUUGGACUCUGGGCUCCAUUAGCUGACCUGUGUUCAUGGAUCUAACCUACAAUUUCAAAUGCCUGGCAAAGUUCAGAUGUUGCAAUUUGUGGGUGGGUUCAUUGAAGACUCUUGCAACCCAUCCAAAGAGCAUGUUAACAUAGAGGUGACAUCUAACAGUUGAUUUUCAUACUUAAUGACCCCAAGGUUCCACUAGUCUGUACCAUUCGCAAACUGUGUUCCUUGGAUUAUUCUUUGCCUUCCUCACCAUCUUCCACGGCAUGUGUUGGGGCAAAAUGUCAAUAACCAUCUGUCUCCCUUUUGGUUUUACACAUGGUGAUGGAUGACUAAGGGAUUUUACAUGCGUGCAACCAUGUAUACCCCAUGGAAAUGGGAGCAGGUGAAAGGCAUUAAUACUGUUCCUGGAGACGGAGACUAAUUAAAAGGCAUAGAACAUAACAGAUUUUCUUUUAGAUUCAACUUUAUUUUAUUUACUAUUAUCAUUGAAUUUAUUGUCAAGUACAAGUACAUUACAAUGACAUGUAGAUGCUACUUUGUUUGGUUUUAUUUUAAAUAUUCUUUAGGGAUGCCAAUGUUGUGCUGAAAAAAUCAUAUAAAAUGAUUGGUGUUUCAGAAGGUAUUGUGUUGAAAUGAUAGUAUACGGCUCUCCCUUAUGUUUGAGCCCAGAAUAUGUCUCUCUGUUGUUUAUUUUUUGCAUUUGAUUUUGUUCAAUUUCAUGAAAGGUGCCAAUACUUCUUGCGUUGACUGUAGUUCACAGAAAAAUUCUGUGAGGAGGAAUGGUUUAACAUCCCUUCAAAAGUUUUCUCCAUAAAACAAUAGAAUAAGGCUGAGUCUGCACAGUUAUCCUUGCAAUGAGCAUUUACAAUAUAGCUGAAUAACUGUGUUGUUUAAUUUAUGUGACUUUUAAUUUAUGUGAGUGAAAAUAAUUGUGGAGCUGACUGUAUAUAAUUAUUUACACAGUCUGUCUGUUUCUAUGAGUAAGUGUGUGGAUGACUUGUUAGUCACUACGUAAACAAUGAGUUACCUAUUAUGUAGCAUUCUUGUGUCAUAAAUCCAAAAUGUUUGGGAUCAGUGAUAUUAUUUCUUUAUGCAUAUCUUUGUAGAGACUGGAUUCAAAUCAAACAAAGUUGCAGGUUUCUCUAAUAAAACAGUUUCUUCUUCGGAGAGCUUCAUAUCAUAUCUAACCUUUCAAAAAAUUGGUAUAAGUACUCUUUAUGUGAAUUCUGCUCCACAGAAAACAUUUCUAUAUUUUUAAGCAUGUUCUUGUAUAAUGGGAAUGCUGAGGGCUUUUUGAAUUCUGGGAAAAAGUUGACGAAUGACACUAUGUGACGCUCCUUUGUUAAAAUGUUGAUUUAGUACUCAUACAGAACACCAACAGAGAACAACAGCCUGCCAGGAACUACAGUCUCUAAGAUUUUGGUUUAAAUGUUUAAGAAUUUAUCAAUUCCGCAAUGGCUCCUCACAUUCAAAGAACAGUUCUUAUGGAAUUAUCCACAGCAAAGACAAACAGGGCCAAGCCAAUCCACUCUUCACACAUGGAAGAAACUCAUCACCAAUGGACCUCUAUAUAUGAAUGUGUAUCAAUAGUUUGUAACUAUUUCUAAAGCUAUGCCAUGUAUAAUUCUGUAGAUUUAUUAUGUAAAAUGUAUUUAUUUGUUUUUAUCUGAGGCUUGAUUUUUCAUACUUUUUUUUCAGAUUGCCUGGGGGAUGGGUGAAGGCAGCAUUUAUUUUAGAUUUUUUACAUUAUAUAAAAAUACGCAGAAGCAAUCCUAAAUCUAAAAAAUUACUUGGUGUGCUCUACCAAGAAAAGGUUACAUAUGAAAUGUGUCUACCUUGCCCAAGUGAAACUACAACUGCAACUGUAUAUUUAGCCAGUAGGUGACAGUAGUAAGUUAGUUUUGCACUAAACAUGGCUACACAACGGAUAGACAUGUCAUUACCAUAAGUGGUGCAAUUCUUACCAUUAGGAGUAGCCUGAGAUAAUCACAAACUUUAUUAAGAGUAAUUUACGAUGCUGGGAGUAUUUUAUGGCAGGCAGAGGUAAGGAACUUAAUUUAAAAGUUAAUUGUAGUUUGCUUAUUCUGUACUGAGGUGCCAUCUAGAGGUUCAAUUGUGUGCCAUCACAUUUACAGAGGCCUCACUGAAGUGCUAAUAAUAAUAUGUGUAUUGGACAAAGAUAAUACUAAUUAAAAGCAUCUAUAAUAAAUGUCGGAGGGUAGAUCACCUAUUGCCAGACCAGAAAAACAUUAUUAGAUCAUUUCACAAAAUGUUAAUCUACAGUUGCACAGCGAUAUAAUUUAUAAACUACGGGAAUAUUACUCUCUUGUUUUCAUUUCAAAGAUGACUUCAAUUAGGCUGCUUAAAGAUUCAAUCAUCUUUGAAAAACGUUGUCC